GGCAAGGACACAUAACAGAGACAGAUCCAGGGCCCAAAACUUUUAGCUACAUUAGAAGCUAUCUAUGGAAGAUGGUAGAAUUCAAGUUCGUAUAGAAAAGAAAUAGGAAAACAGACGAAAAGAGUCAAGAAUCUACAAUGAGAAGUUGGAACCCUUUUCCAAUUGUCGAACUUGAUACUUUUGUGAAAAAGAAUAAUUGUUUAAGCCAAACACAGAUAAAGAGACAAAGGGAAAAAGAAAAACAGAUGAAAAGAAUCAGGCGUAAGCUCCUAUAUUCAAGUUAAAAUCUUAUGAAGUUAUAGGACUUCUUAGUGGAUAACACUGCCUAACCUUUCACUGUUUGAUAAUAGUCGGUUUUAUUAACAAGCCCAAAGAGUGAGUUUAAGUCCUGAAGCAUCCACAAUGUCCUCAAGGCCCCAGAGGCAUUAGUUUUCCCCAGAAAAGAAACUAUACUGAAAUCACUCCAACCAUGAUCAUCAAUAAAUCUAAAAACUACCUUUGCUGAGUUAAUUUUCAGGUUCUACAGGCAAUGACAGAGCCACUCCUCAAACAAGUAUAGUUGAUCCCCUAAUAUUUGCAUUGCCAAGCUGCUUUGAGGGGCAAACGGAAUAAAUAAAUAAAAAACAGUUUAUGCAGUCUGAUGAUUCAAGAAUUAGAAGGAACUGCCCAAAAGCUGUAAAAAUCCACCGCCAUCAUUAGAACUUCCAUCUAAAGCCUGAAUUUGCUCAUGAUGUUCUGUCCAUCAAAUGUACAAGAGCCUCUCGUCAUCAAACAAAAGUUUCCCUAAACUCUUUAAUCUGUAGGGGACUUUAGCACAUAAGUCUGCAAUAAAGUGGACAGAGCAUGAAAGAAUCAAGGCAACAUUUUGACGACCAUAAUAAAUAAAACAAGCAAAACCCAACUGAAGUUUCGCUCAGCAACUCAAUUUACAGACACCAUACACUACCCUGAAAUCAAUAACGGGAAAAACCAACCCUUUUCGCUUCCCACACUGGAAUCAACCAAGCAAGAGAUCGACACCGGAUGAAACCACAAGCAUAGCCAGCAUACUCAAAUCCCAUAAUUCCAAAAUCAACUCCCCGCCCAGGGGACAAAAAGCAAUUUUUACAAAACGAAAGUAGAGCCCAGUUCAUCCGAUCAGUCCGGCUGAAUGUCAAGCUGAACUCCACCCACAAAAUUCAUCAAUCUGACGACCCUCUGACAUACCCAAUGCGCACGAAUUGCACGCGAGAAUCACCAUCAACCAAGAUUCGAGAGAAAAGCAGUCACCUUUACGAGAGAAAGAGAGAGAGGGGGGGGGGGUUGAGCUGCGGUUUCCCAAGGUAGCAGAAGACGAGGAGGAGGAGAUUUUUGUUUGGUCUUAGCCAAACAUCGUGUAAAGUGACGAAGGAGAGACUUUGGCCGCCCCCCGGUCCAAAGCAGACCGUGCGCCGUCGCAGAAGGAAGAGGGG
rnacentral:lncRNA from 1 species